GGUCAUAUAGUGUAGCGGUUAGCACCCAGGAUUCUGACUUGACAGUGUGACUUCCUGUAACCCAGGUUCGAUUCCUGGUAUGACCU